rnacentral:rRNA from 1 species
CGAGCAAUCUGCCCUUCUCAUCGGAAUAAGCGUUGGAAACGACGUCUAAUGCCGAAUACGACCUCCUUUCGCAUGAUCGGAGGUGGAAAGCUCCGGCGGAGAAGGAUGAGCUCGCGGCCUAUCAGCUAGUUGGUGUGGGUAAUGGCCCACAAGGCGACGACGGGUAGCCGGCCUGAGAGGGUGACCGGCCACACUGGGACUGAGACACGGCCCAGACCUCCGUACGGGAGCAG